rnacentral:misc_RNA from 1 species
UCUCCGUUGGUGAACCAGCGGAGGGAUCAUUACAGAGUUGCAAAACUCCCAAACCAUUGUGAACGUUACCUAUCCCGUUGCUUCGGCGGGCGGCCCGGGCCCCGCGCCCGGCGCCCCCCGGCCCCCCGUGGGCGCCCGCCGGAGGUAAACCAAACCCUUGAAUUGCAUGGCCUCUCUGAGUCUUCUGUACUGAAUAGGUCAAAACUUUCAACAACGGAUCUCUUGGCUCUG